ACAGAAUGCGUCAGCAUAGCUUGCCAGCUUCCCCUGUCAAUCUCUAGAAUUGAGUCAAUUUAACUUUUCUUUUAAUUUUAAUUUUAUUUUAUUCCAGCUCUUAACCUAAUCUCAUAGAAUUACAAACCUUUGAAAGUUGGCAACCCUAUUAAGACAGGUCAGUGUAUUGACAUAAGAAUCGUCAUCAGCGUUUGGUCUCUAGGAUGCCGCAAAGGAACUAGAGUCUGGAGCGAACAGCGUAAGUUCGUGAACUAAAAGGAUUCGCAUCUACCUGAGUACCAGAUUCUGCGAGAAUUAAUUUGAGCCCAGAUUGCUCAGACCGAUGUAAAACCUACGACUAACGCCUUAGGAUACAGACCAAUAAAACAGCAUGGAACGACAUAGGAUUCGGCAAGAAAGAACAGAAGAAGAACAAUUUGGUUUGCAUCAGUAAUUCAGUAAGGCUCAGCCCAGCAACACUAAUGACAACGUGAGUCAGGCUCCAGGAUGGGCCACAGUUUAUAGGUACCCAUCAUCAGAUCCUGAGUUGAUGGCAAUGGGACCAACUGUGAUAUACUAUGCCAACUGUGUAUAUUAUGUAGUUCAAAAAAGAAAAUAA